rnacentral:rRNA from 1 species
UACAGAGGUCUCAAGCGUUGUUCGGAUUCAUUGGGCGUAAAGGGUGCGUAGGUGGCGCCGUAAGUCAGGUGUGAAAUUUCGAGGCUUAACCUCGAAACUGCAUUUGAUACUGCGGCGCUUGAGGACUGGAGAGGAGACUGGAAUUCAUGGUGUAGCAGUGAAAUGCGUAGAGAUCAUGAGGAAGACCAGUGGCGAAGGCGGGUCUCUGGACAGUUCCUGACACUGAGGCACGAAGGCCAGGGGAGCAAACGGG